rnacentral:rRNA from 1 species
UACAGAGGGGGCAAGCGUUGUUCGGAAUUACUGGGCGUAAAGAGCGUGUAGGCAGCCAGGUAGGUCGGUUGUGAAAACUGGAGGCUCAACCUUCAGAGGUCGACCGAAACCAUCUGGCUAGAGUCCGGGAGAGGAGAGUGGAAUUCCUGGUGUAGCGGUGAAAUGCGUAGAUAUCUGGAGGAACACCGGUGGCGAAGGCGGCAUCCUGGACCGACACUGACGCUGAGGAGCGAAAGCCAGGGGAGCAAACGGG